CCUUUGUACACACCGCCCGUCGCUACUACCGAUUGAAUGGCUCAGUGAGGCGUCCGGACUGGCCCAGAGAGGUGGGCAACUACCCCUCAGGGCCGGAAAGUUGUUCAAACUUGGUCAUUUAGAGG
rnacentral:rRNA from 1 species